GGGGAAUAUUGGGCAAUGGACGCAAGUCUGACCCAGCAACGCCGCGUGAAGGAGGAAGGCUUUCGGGUUGUAAACUUCUUUUAAGGGGGAAGAGUAGAAGACGGUACCCCUUGAAUAAGCCACGGCUAACUACGUGCCAGCAGCCGCGGUAAUACGUAGGUGGCAAGCGUUGUCCGGAUUUACUGGGUGUAAAGGGCGUGUAGCCGGGAAGGCAAGUCAGAUGUGAAAUCUGGAGGCUCAACCUCCAAACUGCAUUUGAAACUGCUUAUCUUGAGUGUCGGAGAGGUAAUCGGAAUUCCUUGUGUAGCGGUGAAAUGCGUAGAGAUGUGGAGGAACACCAAUGGCGAAGGCAGCCCCCUGGGUCGAUACUGACGCUCAUGCACGAAAGCGUGGGGAGCAAACA
rnacentral:rRNA from 1 species